GCCAGCCUCCCCGCCUGUCCGCACUUCCUGCUUCCUCAUGGAGUCUGGGAUUGCCGCUAGGAGCUGUGAAGAGAGGGCCCGACUCUGCUGUCUGCCACCAACACUCAGUGGCCUGGGAUGGAGAUGAGGGCACUAAGACUCAGAGAGGUGAGGUGACUUGCCCAGGGACGCACAUCUGGGGAGAGACUGAGUUGGGAUGGAAACCCAGACCUCACUGACGCCAGCGCUUAUGCCGUGUCAUCAUCUACUGCCUCUUAUAGCCGCAGCACCCCCUGCUGUGCUCCCGUUUCUGUGGAUUCGACCUGUCCACGUGGCUCACUAGGAUUUGAGAGGAGUAACUGGUCCUCUUGAGGUGGCCCUGGCACCAUCACCUGAGAUCAGACAGCCUUUCCGAAGAAAGGUACCUCUGAAGGAGGUAUAGUGGUGCCUGCAUCUUGAGACACCACACUCCUAACCACACUGACCCCUGGAGUCCCAGUGGGAGGACAGCCCCAAUCCUGGGGAGCCCAGCACCCCUGGGGCAGAAGGGGAGGUGCCCGGCCUGCAGCCUUUGAUGGCAAGAAUGAGCCUCUGGGCUUGGGGGCCCCUCCUGGGAGGGAGCAUGGGGGCCCCAUGAACCUGGCCACUUGGGGAAGACCCUGUGGGGAGCACCCACGUUGGCCUGCUUGGCAGACCUGCUCCGAGAAGCUUCCUGUGGCUGCUUCUCUUGCAGGAUGACGAGCCUCAUCUCAAUAGGGCUGUGGCUGGGCUGGGAGAGGCCCUGGGGCUGUCCCCGGCACCAGGUGGCAUCACGGGGCAGGCACCACAGGCUGGACCUAGAGCCAGCCGCACGGCCUCCCUUGGCCCUUAUGACCUUUGGGGCGGGUCCCGUGUAGUCACCUCCAUUUCCAGGUGGGAACUGAAGUCAGAAGCUGAGCCGCCCGCCCUGGCCCCGUGUGGGGAUGGUGCCCAGGUCUGCUGGCUCCCCUGGGCUGGGGCUCCACGUCCUGCCCACAGGCCUCCCUGCUGUUUCCCACUUCUCCUGUCCAUCACUGGUCCCUGGAGAGCUGGGCUUUGUCCCCUGGGGCCUGUCCUGGGCUGUCCUUGGGCACACGUUUGUGAACCAGUCCUGCCCCAGAAGCUCCCAGCACCCAGGGGGACACCUCCCUGGAGUCUCCCAGUCCCCUCCCCAGAGUAGCUCAGUCCUUAAAAGUCACUGUCCUCUCCUGCCCUGCACUGAGGUAGCCUGGACUCAACUUACCUCCUGG